UGGGGAAUUUUCCGCAAUGGGCGAAAGCCUGACGGAGCAAUGCCGCGUGGGUGAAGAAGGCCUUCGGGUUGUAAAGCCCUUUCAGCAGGGAAGAAAAGCUCGGGGAUAAUACCCCCGGGUGCUGACGGUACCUGCAGAAGAAGCACCGGCUAACUCCGUGCCAGCAGCCGCGGUAAUACGGAGGGUGCAAGCGUUAAUCGGAAUUACUGGGCGUAAAGGGCGCGUAGGCGGCUGUUUAAGUCGGGUGUGAAAGCCCCGGGCUCAACCUGGGAAUUGCAUUCGAUACUGGACGGCUGGAGUGUAGUAGAGGGAAGCGGAAUUCCGGGUGUAGCGGUGAAAUGCGUAGAUAUCCGGAGGAACAUCAGUGGCGAAGGCGGCUUCCUGGACUAACACUGACGCUGAGGCGCGAAAGCGUGGGGAGCAAACAGGAUUAGAUACCCGUGUAGUCC
rnacentral:rRNA from 1 species